rnacentral:rRNA from 1 species
UAGGGAAUCUUCCACAAUGGACGAAAGUCUGAUGGAGCAACGCCGCGUGAGUGAAGAAGGGUUUCGGCUCGUAAAACUCUGUUGUUAAAGAAGAACAUAUCUGAGAUAACUGUUCAGGUAUUGACGGUAUUUAACCAGAAAGCCACGGCUAACUACGUGCCAC